AGUCCGCUCCGGAAACGCGACUGCGGACGGAGGUACCACGUGAUCGUAACGUCAACGCGCCGGCGCCCGCCGAACUGACGCGCUCGGCUUCGGCGGGUUAGUGGUCGGGGCUUAGGUGAUCUCCCACCCCCGUGUUGUGGCGUUUGGGGUCUUUUUCUCCAGACUUCCUGGCCCUGCUCUGGGAUUUCACGAUGUACCACAACAGUAGCCAGAAGCGGCACUGGACUUUCGCCAGUGAGGAGCAGCUAGCACGACUGCGGGCGGACGCCAACCGUAAAUUCAAAUGCAAAGCGGUCGCCAACGGGAAGGUUCUUCCAAAUGAUCCAGUCUUUCUUGAGCCUCACGAAGAAAUGAUGCUCUGCAAAUACUAUGAGAAGAGAUUAUUAGAAUUCUGUUCAGUGUUUAAGCCAGCAAUGCCACGGUCUGUUGUGGGCACAGCUUGUAUGUAUUUCAAGCGUUUUUAUCUUAAUAAUUCAGUAAUGGAAUAUCACCCCCGGAUAAUAAUGCUCACUUGUGCAUUUUUGGCCUGCAAAGUAGAUGAAUUCAAUGUAUCUAGUCCACAGUUUGUUGGAAAUCUGCGGGAGAGUCCUCUUGGACAGGAGAAGGCACUCGAACAGAUUUUGGAAUACGAACUACUUCUUAUACAACAACUGAAUUUCCACCUUAUUGUCCACAAUCCUUAUAGACCAUUUGAGGGCUUUCUCAUUGAUUUAAAGACUCGCUACCCCAUGAUGGAGAAUCCAGAGAUGUUGAGGAAAACAGCCGAUGACUUUCUUAAUAGAAUUGCAUUAACAGAUGCUUACCUUUUAUACACACCUUCCCAAAUUGCCCUGACUGCCAUUUUAUCUAGUGCAUCUCGAGCAGGAAUUACUAUGGAAAGUUAUUUAUCAGAAAGUCUGAUGUUGAAAGAGAACAGAACUUGCUUGUCACAGUUACUAGAUAUAAUGAAAAGUAUGAGAAACUUGGUAAAAAAAUAUGAACCACCCAGAUCUGAAGAAGUUGCUGUUCUGAAACAGAAGUUAGAGAGAUGUCACUCUGCUGAGCUUGCCCUUAACAUAAUUACGAAGAAGAGGAAAGGCUAUGAAGAUGAUGAUUAUGUCUCAAAGAAACCCAAACAUGAGGAGGUAUGUUGUCCAAAGGAAGAAUGGACUGACGAUGACCUGGUUGAUUCUCUCUAACCAUUUGAAAUUGACUUUUCAAUGCUAACUAAUCAACAGAAGGAUGAAACCUAUCUGGCAUUUAAGUUUAUUUAAAAAUGAAAUGAUGUGAAAGCAUUAAAGAUAGUAAAUUUUCUAUUUUUGUUAGUUAAAUUUUCUUCCCUUUCAGGAUAGCUUUAUGUGAAAUAAAACCUUUUCAAAGGGGCCAGAAUAGCACCUGGUUUAGAUAGUCUUGCCCCAUCAUGACUAGUAUCAAAUUAAUCUUUCUAUAGUAGUGAAAGCUGUAAUUUAUUUGCCUGUAUUGUUUAAAACAAAUUACAAUAUGCAAACCUAUUUUUUAAGGAAAAGCACAAAAGUUAAAAAAACCGAGUAGUCUGCUUUAAAUGUGCUAGGGAAUGUUUUUCACUCUCUACAAGCCUUUAUAUAAAUGGUUUCUCAAAUGUCACUGUGAUCUACUUAACUUUUUGUAGGUUACUACUGAACUACAAAAUGCGCUUCAGCUGUCAAGUGGUAGUCAGUAUUUGUUUUCCUCAGUUAUCUGAAAACAUUACCAAAUAGGUUUCUAAAAGAGAAAUCAAGUAAAUAUGCAGUCUUUUAUUUUUUUUUAACAUUUUUUUAAUGUUUAUUUUUGAACGAGAGACAGAGCAGGGGAGGGGCAGAAAGAGAGGGCGACACAGAAUCCAAGCUUUGAGCUGUCAGCACAGAGCCUGACGCAGGGCUUGAACUUCAUGAACUGCAAGAUCGUGAUGCAAGCCGAAGUUGGGACGUGUAACCAAUUGGAAGCCACCCAGGCAUCCUGGUAAAUAUGCAGUCUUGAAUAGUUAUCUCGAUAAAAAUAUUAAGUUGCUAUUAACCAGUAGAUAGGUGUUACAGUUACUAAGAAUUUUUCAAAUUAAAGAUGUUUAAGAAGUUUAAUUCGAAUUGAAGGGAGUUGAUAUUAAAUGUAACUCCACAGACCUCUGUGCCAAUUUCCUAAGGUGCAAAUGGGGAAAAUAAUCACCUAUGUUUCCUAGGAUUAAUUGGAAUAGUGGCUGCCUAUAUUAAGUGUUAAUAAAUGUUGGAUAGAAAUAGUAUUCAGGUAUUUAACUGUGAUUUUACUAUUGUUUUAUUCAUAAUUUGGAACCAAAUUAUGGAUGUCGAAUUUUUUCUGGAAUACUGGUUGAAGGAAUUCGGCAAAACUCAGCCCGUGAAUCUGAAUGUUAUGGAUACACAGCUUUUCUCAAUGUCUGUGCAUCCCAGGCUGCACCUUCCAUUUAGAGUAUAUUUUAAUUACAUCUCAGUAUUUGAGGACAGUAUUUACUAUAUGCAUAUUCUUCUAAUAAUUUUUUAUAUUUUAGGUUUUUUAUUUUUAGUUCCUUCUCACUUUAGAAUGAGGAAUGAAGUUCAUUAAGUGUGAUUUUAUAAAAGUCGAAUAGAAGAAGCUUAAGUUGACCAUUUUCCAGUGCAUUCCAAGUUAUGUAGCAGUGCUGCUAGCCUCUAGACAGCACUGCGGAGUGUUGGUAAUUUACCUUGUUUGUCUUUUAGGUCAGUAAGCUUUGGCAUCUGAGCAAAGUCCACAUUUAUCUCUGCAAAGUCUCCUACCCAGCCCCAUUUUAAAAGUUUUAGAGGCUUUAUUUCAUGAUUGACCCAACUAGUUACUGCAAGUUCCACCCUACAAAGUUACCAAAGCCGAACUAGUUUAAUUACCUCUGUGCCCUGUCUCACCCCACGAUCUCACCACUCCAAUCUGGAUUCUUCAGUUUCAACUGCAACUUUGUCCUGCACUAAGGUACACCAAACAAAAAACAAACAAACAAACAAAAUGUAAAAACCAAACCUUUAAUACUGCUCUACUUCCUAAAAAUUCCUUUUAUAAAACCAAAAUCCUUUAUCAUAGAACUCAAGUCUACAUUUCCUGUCUCAUACUACCAACUCUCUUAAGCUAUCUAUACCAUGGUCACACAUAACUACCUAUUUGCUAAUCCACAUUCUCCUACCACCUAGCUUAUUCUUUUUAACCUAGGAUGUCUUUUUCACUCACUGUUUCCUACCUGUUUCCUACUAUCUAGGUAGGAUCUUCUUCAAAUACUACCUCCUCAGUCAAUGAGUCCCUAGAACAUAAACUUUUACUUUAAAUCAAAAAGACAUCCUUCUUUUAUCAUCUUUUUAACCUUACCUAUUUGGCAUUCCUAUUAUUUAAGAUACACGGGUGUUAUUCAUUCCGGUAUAGUGGCUACAUGCAUCGUAACCUCUUACCUAUUCUUUAACACCUACCACCACCAUAAUCACUAGCACAAUGCUGUUCAUAUAGGUUGCACUGAAUAUUUUUGAGGUGUACCUCUAGGACCCAGCAAAACUGGGUAUCUGGCACCAAGUCUUCACUGAAUAAUGAAGGAAAGAGAAAAAUAGUCUAUCUGUCCAUGGAUUUACUUCCCUCAAUUUUUCCUCACUCAUCAAAUACCUACCCAAAGUAAAACCACACACUCACUGAAUGCCUACUAUAUGAAAGCAGUAUGCUAAAAAACAAACAAAAAAAACCCCACAAAAACAAAAUGUAUUAUCAUUGCCCAAAAGGAGUUCAUCUCUAUAGAACUGGUUUACGCCAUAAAUUAAUUUUAUACAGUGUAGUAAAAUACAGAAUUAACAAGGUGCUAUAAAAACACAAGACAAAACAAUUUAGACUAAGAUAGGCAUAAAACCUCUGUGAAAAAAGGGGCAACAUCUGGGCUGAAUUGAUAAAAAUGAAUCAAAUUUUACAAGUUAGUGGUGUAGCAGGGCAAGAGUGUCAAGGAAGAGGAGAAAGUAUAGGCAAAGAGAUAUUCAUUCAACAAACAUUUGCUGAAUGUUUACUAAUACUAGACACUAUUCUGCUAUAGGAAUACAUCACUGAAUUAGAGACAAAAAUUCUCACAGAGCUUACAUUCUAGAUUUAAGGCAUAAAAGUAUAAAUGUGCUUGGAGAACAGUAAUCAGAAGUUCAGAGCGGGAAAAUCCUUAAAUCCAACCACCAAAGUAAUGUCUGAAAUCUAGACAAUCUCUAAAUGGCUUUUCAACCUACAAGGAAUCACUAUGCUCCAAUGAAGACCAUUAUGAAAACUUAUUAUACAUAUUAGUGUGAAACCUAUUUAUAAUUCUACCUUGAAACUAUUCCACUAUUAAUCCAAAGUAUGACUAUAUUCCUUUUUAGCAGCCACAUCACAUUUUUUGUUCAUACUGAGUUAUUAAAUUGUUUUUAUUUUUUUCCUUUUAUUGACAUGAGGUCAUGUCUCUUUACCUUAAAUUGAGCUUUUUUUUUUUUUUUCUGUACUCCUUGGAUAACUUACACUUAUUCUUCUUAAAGUUUACCUAGUUGGAUUUGACCCAGAAUUCAAGAGCUAAAGAAAAGUUAAACUAUACUAUAAAUCCUUCAAAUAAUCAGAAAAAUGGGGGAAAGGGGGUUAUAGCAAGGAGAAAAAAAAAUCCAACAUAAAAAAUUUUAACUAAGAAAUUUCAUAAGUAAAACCAGUGAGAUUCUUCAGUUUGAACGCUUCUGGCCUAUAUGGAAUAAAUAUCCCUUCCUACUGUAAAACUCCAAAUAGUAACCUAGGAAUUAGAAGUUCUAAUGCCAGCUCCUCUAUUAAGUAACUAUGUGUAUGGAAUUUAUCAUACCAUUUCCUCAACCUCCCUCCACUUUUCGUCAGUAUGUUUUACUUUUACAUAUCAAGUUCUAUUAGUCAAAAGAAUAACAAAGACAAAUAUUCUCCCCUGCUGUCUUCCUGCAACAAUAAUCAAAGCACAGGUUUCAGAAUAUUACCAGGUUCAUGACAUAUUUUAAAAACAGUAGCUCUGAAGGUUAUGAAAGAUAAAAGGAAACCAUUCCAUCACCCUAACCAAAUCCAAAAAGGAAGGGUGAAUUCCAAAACUGUAAUAUUUUGGAUAUGAUUCAGUGAUACUGAGUACUAUCUCCGAAAUGCAAAUACUGUUUGAAAGCAGACCUGCUAUUAAGAAAUGCACAAUUUUUUAUAGUGAUAAGAUUUCUAAUACUAUAUUAUGUGGUGACAACGAAAAUGGAAAAACUGAAAAUGUAGAAACAUGUGAUAAUGUAUGUGUAAUAUAACUAAGCUUUUCCAAAGUUACUAGAAAGUUAUACGUAUAUUUGGGAGAUGAAGAAUUUGAAAGCAAACAUGGACAAUGAUUUGAAUGAGAUUUCCAUGAUCAGUUUGACAUAAUGUCACUUAAGAGAAAAACCACCAAGACGACAAAAAGAGAUACAAAUAAGUACAAAUGUUAAUGUUCUUUAUUCUUAGAAACUCAUAAAAACUUUCUGAAAAUUGGCAGUUAAAGAUUAAAACAUGCUAGCCUAAUUAUGGUCUUUACAAAAAAUAACAUUUAUUACAGUAAAUACAUUUUAAUGAAAAAUUCCUUGUACUUAGGAAUUAGGUUUCUCAUUAAAAAAAAUGUUUCACAACUAAUUUCCAUGAUUAUGGACAAGUUCCAAAAAUGUACAAAACACUGACAAUUCUGAGAGUGAGAAGAAAAGAACAAAACUUACCACCUCUUCCACUAAGUCUUCAACAAUAAGGCCCUGUUCAUCUGUUCUUAGAUUUGUAACCCACAUCCAUCCAUCUUCUAAUUCAUUAUGAACAAUAAACAUAUCUCCUUUUAGGAAACUGAAAGUGACAAUUAUAAAGUUAUUAAAAUUGAAUUAAAGUUUUAAACAGGGAAAAACGACUAAUCACGUAAUACAAGAGAUACUAUGAUACUGGAAAAUGCAAGAAAUUAAAGUCAAAUACUCUGGAUUUUUGUCCUGUUUCUGGCAUCACCUACAUGUAAAACUUUGAAGCCACUUAACAAUCUGAAUCUUAAUUUCAUCACGUGUAAAUGGUAUCUGCAACACUGGAUUAUCAUUACAUUCAAAAUGGAAUGUUUGUAAACAAUAAUUACAUAUGCAUUACAAGCUUUAGGGUGUAACUCCCAAGAAAACUGACUUAAAAAUGUAAGCUUCUGUGUAAUUAUCUUUCAGAUAUGGUUUAGAUAUAAAAUCAUAAUAUAGUUAAUUCAUUACACAUAAACAAGACACAGUUACUUUGGAAAAACUUUAUUUUGAAUAAGCACCAUUAGUCUAAUCAGCAUAUGUUUAUGAGAAUUAAUAUUUUUCUCAUAAAGAACGUUAAGAUUUAUUUAAUUUACUUAGAUACCCAUGAUACUACAUAGCAUUCUUUUUGUUUGAAAGUGGUAGUAAAGCAUUUGAAAAUGUAUGAAUGUUUUUUCUGUUACAAAUUUCUGAGUAGAGGGAAACACACAAACUAGUUUCUUUUCCUUGGAAUCUAGAUGUUUGCAACCUCCACCAAAUCACAGGAGGAGUAAGUUAGUUUUAUACUGAUGCCGUCUAUCAACAUCAGUAAUUCGCUCAAGUGUCCUUUUAAGCCUGAAUGAAUGCCUAUGAACAUUUAAGGUUUCAAGAUUGAUUGGCUGCUACCAUUAACCCUACAUCUAUAUCCAUGUCUGUCAAAUAUUUUUUUAAAUCAAUUUUCCUUUCAAUCUUAAUUUUCAGAAACCAAACUUCCAUUAAAUAAAUCUUUUCUCAUACUUCUGAAAACCGUUUUUCUCCAGAAUAUCUCAAGCCUGUUUCUUAUACAAAUUCAAGAAAAGAAAACUUGUACACAAUACUUUGGGUGAUCGCUAUGUGAAUGAGCAUGACAUACACUGCAUUCUAUCUUGACACUACAAUCCUUGUUAACAGUGACCAGUAUUUCACUCACUGAUGAGCAGCAGACAGCAGACAUUACCUCUUAGCCAAAUAUGUUAUUUCUUUCUAAAACCAACCUCCUAAACAACUACAUUAAAAAAAUAUUAAUUAUGAGUAAAAAAAGGAAUACAUAUGGACAAGAAGUAAAAGAGAAAGGAGAAGUGACAAGUUACAUUUCUUGGUCAAAAGUAACCAUAAGAGAAUUUGUAUUUUUAAUUUUGACUUUUGUUGUUGCUAGAACACUAUGGUGCAAAAAUGAAAAAAAAAAUUAAAAUAAAAAGCUUACUAGCACAAACAAUACAAUCACAAGAUUCUUUAUGUAUUAUUUUGCAUUCUUCCUCAAAAAAGGUUAAAACGCCUUAUUAAAUCUCAUUAUUCUUCAGAUGUUUUUACCUAAAAACAAAACAAAACAAAAAACUUCACAGAUAUAUACAAAUUUUAAAAGACUUAGGGGCACCUGGCUGGCUCAGUUGGUGGAGCAUGCAACUCUUGAUCUUGGGUGCACAUUCUAAUUUUUGUUUAAAUUUUCAUCUUCCUAGAUCAGUAGUUCUCAGUUUUGAGGUUCUCUUAGGAGCCCUAUAUACUCUUAAAAACUUAAAACCUAAAAGGCUUUGAUUUAUAUAAAUUCUACCCAUUUAGAUUUAUCAUAUUAGAUUUAAAAUAUAAAUGUUUUAAAGUAUUUAGUAAUUCUUAAAAAAAAUACACCCCAUUAUAUAUAACAUAAAGAAUAUGAAAAAUUAUAUUUUUACAAGUUAAUGACAGUAUAUUUCACAUUUUUGCAAAUCUCAACAUCUGUUUCAACUGAAAACUACUCGGUUCUCCUAUUUCUACAUUCAAUCUGUUGCUUUAUGUUUUUUUAUCCGAAGUAUAUGAAGAAAAAUCUGGCCUCACAAAAAAUAUGUAGUCAUGAAAGGGGUAUUUUAAUAGCCUUUGAGAUUACAUAAUUAUAGAUAUUCUAUGACGUAACAGCAAAACCUCAGCAAGUGGUACUUGAAGGUUAGUUGUAAUGUGGACUCUAAAACUGCAGCAAGAACUUUCUGUAUCCCAUUGCAAUAAAAUAUAUUUGUCCAUCUUGCACUCUGAAUGGAUCUUUACCCAGGCAGAAUUCUUUAACAGCGUGCAUUGUUCAUUUAGAAAAUAUUAGUUCACUGACCUAUGUAGACCUUUCAGACAUAAAUACAUUUUACACAAUCAAAACAUCACAUUCUUUAAUAUCACCACCAGUCUCAUCAGAAAAAUCAUGAACUAUUUAUAUUUAGGAAGCUGUCAAACUCCUGAUGGCAGAUACAGGGUUUCUAAAAUCCUCCUUUUUUAUUCCAAGCUCAAAUUUUGUCAUUGGCAAUAAAUACUGCCAGUUAUUUCCCCUGAAGUAACAUAAAACAAUCACUUUACCAAAAAAAAAAAAAAAAGAAAAAAAAGAAAA